rnacentral:rRNA from 1 species
CCUACGGUAGGCAGCAGUGGGGAAUAUUGCGCAAUGGGCGAAAGCCUGACGCAGCGACGCCGCGUGAGGGAUGAAGGUCUUCGGAUCGGUAACCUCUGUCAGCAGGGAAGAACGGUCACUGUGCUAAUCAGCAGUGAAUUGACGGGACCUGCAAAGGAAGCACCGGCUAACUCCGUGCCAGCAGCCGCGGUAAUAAGGAGGGUGCGAGCGGUACUCGGAAUUACUGGGCGUAAAGCGCUCGUAGGAGGUAUGUCAAGUUAAGGGGGGAAUCCCCGCGCGCAACGUGGGAACUGCCUUUGAAACUGGCAAUCGGGAGUGGGUGAGAGGAUAGUGGAAUUACAGGUGUAGGAGUGAAAUCCGUAGAUA